rnacentral:miRNA from 14 species
GCCCACUGUCACGUUCACUGGG